rfam:Schistosoma haematobium scaffold1145_11, whole genome shotgun sequence.
GGUGUUCUGGAUCCGUAUCAAGAUUUCUUCAGACACCAGACCAUCAGUACUGAUGAAACUCUUAAGAUAAAUGAAGCG